rnacentral:rRNA from 1 species
GACGAACGCUGGCGGCGUGCUUAACACAUGCAAGUCGAACGGAAAGGCCCUGCUUUUGUGGGGUGCUCGAGUGGCGAACGGGUGAGUAACACGUGAGUAACCUGCCCUUGACUUUGGGAUAACUUCAGGAAACUGGGGCUAAUACCGGAUAGGAGCUCCUGCUGCACGGUGGGGGUUGGAAAGUUUCGGCGGUUGGGGAUGGACUCGCGGGUUAUCAGCUUGUUGGUGGGGUAGUGGCUUACCAAGGCUUUGACGGGUAGCCGGCCUGAGAGGGUGACCGGCCACAUUGGGACUGAGAGACGGCCCAGACUCCUACGGGAGGCAGCAGUGGGGAAUAUUGCACAAUGGGCGGAAGCCUGAUGCAGCAACGCUGCGUGCGGGAUGACGGCCUUCGGGUUGUAAACCGCUUUCGAAUGUGACGAAGCGUGAUUGACGGUAAUGGGUAAAGAAGCACCGGCUAACUACGUG